GAGGAAUAUUGGUCAAUGGACGAGAGUCUGAACCAGCCAAGUAGCGUGAAGGAUGACUGCCCUAUGGGUUGUAAACUUCUUUUAUAAGGGAAUAAAGUGAGGGACGUGUCCCUUUUUGUAUGUACCUUAUGAAUAAGGAUCGGCUAACUCCGUGCCAGCAGCCGCGGUAAUACGGAGGAUCCAAGCGUUAUCCGGAUUUAUUGGGUUUAAAGGGAGCGUAGGUUGACAUAUAAGUCAGCUGUGAAAGUUUACGGCUCAACCGUGAAAUUGCAGUUGAUACUGUAUGUCUUGAGUGUACAAGAGGUGGGCGGAAUUCGUGGUGUAGCGGUGAAAUGCUUAGAUAUCACGAA
rnacentral:rRNA from 1 species